UACGUAGGGUGCAAGCGCUGUCCGGAAUCAUUGGGCGUAAAGAGCGUGUAGGCGGCUCGAUUAGUCCGCUGUAAAAGUCCAGGGCUCAACCCUGGGAUGCCGGUGGAAACUGUCGGGCUAGAGUCCGGGAGAGGCGAGUGGAAUUCCUGGUGUAGCGGUGAAAUGCGCAGAUAUCAGGAGGAACACCAAUGGCGAAGGCAGCUCGCUGGAACGGUACUGACGCUGAGACGCGAAAGCGUGGGGAGCAAACAGG
rnacentral:rRNA from 1 species